UGACCUUCAGGAAAACAUGUAAAUAAUGUUUACUAGGAGGUGAAUCUUUAUCUACGUAACGUCUUUAGAAGGAUUAUGAUCUAUGUAGGAUCACCUAUCAAAACUGGAAUAUACAGAUUUAUGGCUCCCCAGAAAAUCUCACGUAAGCUAUGUCCUUUCUAAGUUGAAAAGGAAGAUUCUUGGCAUCCAACACAAACCCGAAGAACAGAACUUGUGAAGGGCAGAACCCAGAGAAGCCCUGAGGAUCUCGGUGGCAGGAACUGAUGACUUCUAAAACAGAUCGAUCAGAUCCAACAGUUCUUUGCACUUGCAUCACUUUUCUCAAAGUCCUAAGAGGAGAAAUCUAACUGGUCUAGUCUGAACUUUGUGCCUUCUCCAAUUUUCUGUAGAAAGACUUGAUCAACAAUUUCAUCACGUCUCCUCAAGUGGAAAAGAUAUAAUUUCUCUAAAGUGGGCCAGAGUUUUUGUAGUGGAAGAAAGGAUGAGAACACUGCAAGAGUACAUCAUGUGAAAUGCUGGGCUGGAUGAAGCACAAGCUGUAAUAAAGAUUGCCAGGAGAAAUACCAAUAACCUCAGAUAUGCAGAUGAAACCACCCUUAUGCAGAAAGUGAAGAGGAACUAAAGAGCCUCUUGAUGAAAGUGAAAGAGGAGAGUGAAAAAGCUGGUUUGAAACUCAACAUUCAAAAAACA
ensembl:lncRNA